GACAAACCUGGCUUCAUAGAGAGGAAAAGAUCUGCAACACGUGAAAAACGUAAAGAGAAAACUACUUUCCCAAAUCAAUAAAUCAAUAAUCAUUCUCUUGAUCACUUCCUGUCAGAGCCGGCCCAGCCACUAAGCGACCUUUGCGGUGGCAAAGGGCCCCGUGGGCAGCAGAGGGCCCCGUACAGUCACUGCUUGUUAGUGGUAAACUAACAUGAAAGACAGAUCUCUAUAAUUCGCACCACAAUGAGCACAUUGGUUAUUUAAUGUAGUUAUAUACUAUGGAAAAUCAGCUGUGACCUGAGACUCCUGACCCUGACUGACCCUGAGACGUCACCAACAUCACUCGUUACGCUGAGUCCGUCAGGCUCGAUGUCUGACAAGAGAAGAUCAUAUUUUUCUGGACGUGUAAAAAGACAUCAGAAGAGCCUCUAAGAAGAGAGGAGGCAAGAAGAUAAAGGUCUACCUGUGGCUACUGAAGUGGAGAGCAGUACCAUCGUGGUACCAGCACACCUGUCUCUCCAGUUUCUGCUGCUCCAGUGGAUCCAGCUGACUGGACAUCAGGACUUAACGACCAGUUACACGUUGAUGUGGUGAGCGGUAAAACCAGCACAGGUUGACAGAGACAUUUAGACUUUUCCAAAAAGACACUCAGACAGUAAAAGUCUUUUCUAUCAUUACAUGUUUAGAUCACUCAUAAAGAAGCAGGUUGAGAAAAUGAUGCUGUCAGCUGUUUCCUAGUUUUUGUCUCUUAAACUCUUGUUUGGCUGUUAUUAAAGAUUUAAGCUUUGGUCAUAA